GAUUCUGUAGCUCAGCUGGUAGAGCAAUACACUUUUAAUGUAUGGGUCUCGGGUUCGAAUCCCGACAGAAUCACAA
rnacentral:tRNA from 1 species